rnacentral:rRNA from 1 species
UGGGGAAUUUUGGACAAUGGGCGCAAGCCUGAUCCAGCCAUGCCGCGUGCGGGAAGAAGGCCUUCGGGUUGUAAACCGCUUUGUCAGGGAAGAAAUCUUCUGAGUUAAUACCUCGGGAGGAUGACGGUACCUGAAGAAUAAGCACCGGCUAACUACGUGCCAGCAGCCGCGGUAAUACGUAGGGUGCAAGCGUUAAUCGGAAUUACUGGGCGUAAAGCGUGCGCAGGCGGUUUUGUAAGACAGAGGUGAAAUCCCCGGGCUCAACCUGGGAACUGCCUUUGUGACUGCAAGGCUUGAGUGCGGCAGAGGGGGGAUGGAAUUCCGCGUGUAGCGUGAAAUGCGUAGAUAUGCGGAGGAACACCGAUGGCGAAGGCAAUCCCCUGGGCCUGCACUGACGCUCAUGCACGAAAGCGUGGGGAGCAAACAGGAUUAGAUACCCUGGUAGUCACGCCCUAAACGAUGUCAACUGGUUGUUGGGAAGGUUCCUUCUCAGUAACGUAGCUAACGCGUGAAGUUGACCG